rnacentral:tRNA from 1 species
GUCAGGAUGUCCGAGCGGUCUAAGGCGCUGCGUUCAGGUCGCAGUCUCCCUGGAGGCGUGGGUUCGAAUCCCACUUCUGACA